AUGGAAGAGUCUACACUCACUCAGAAGCUCCCACACCACCUGCCUGCCCCCCAAGCUAGCCCUCUGCUCCUGCUCCCCCAAGAACAGCCUCCCUCCCCAGGCUGCCCUGACCUCGGAGCCACUUGGAGUCGUGCUUGGCAGUGCGGAGCAGGGGCAGAGGCCCAAGGCUUCUGUAAACCACAGGGUCGCUGGCCUGGAAGUCUGUGUUCGUGGCUGAGUACAGGCUGCCCUCUGGGGACGGGGCAGGGGAGCCAUCAGGGUCUUCUGCCUCCUGAUAGGCUGCCCAUGCCCCUCCCUGGCCCCUCCCUCACCCUCCAUUCAGGGGCAGAGGAAGACCAAGCUGGCAGAGAAGCUAAGCCUCUCCCUGCUUCUCCCACGCCCAGGCUGGAAACGCGGGCAGGGAGCUGGGCAUGGUGGAGCACUUGGGCAGAGGCUAAGGCAGGGACCCUCUCCUCCCUCCUCACCGUCUGCUUUCCCCGAACGGCACAGUUCUCCACACCUUGGCUCCUCCAUGUCAGGUACUGAAGGGAGAGAUAAAAGAGGAGCUCGGGAGGCAUCCUGGGCCCCUCACAUUAUGGCUCUUUUCCAAUCCUUCCUCCCGCCCUUGGGCCCCUCAGGCCUCUCCCAUUCUCGUCCCCGCACCCACACCUCCUCCUGAACAGCCUCACCUUGCUGGGCACCAGCCCUUCCCCUUCUUCUUGGGCCUGAAGGUCAAAGAAGAAGAUGUGGUCCCUGCAGGGUAGGGAAGGAAGGGCCAGCGCUCAGCCAAGGCACCCCGUCCUCA
rnacentral:lncRNA from 1 species